rnacentral:sRNA from 1 species
AGAGAAGGAGCCCAAUGAAACGAAGUUUCAUUAAUACAAAUGGCUCCGACGAAAUGCCGCCGAGCGGAGGCGAGGGGGCAACACCA